UGGGGAAUUUUGGACAAUGGACGCAAGUCUGAUCCAGCCAUGCCGCGUGCGGGAAGAAGGCCUUCGGGUUGUAAACCGCUUUUGUCAGGGAAGAAACGAGUUUCUCUAAUACAGAGACUUAAUGACGGUACCUGAAGAAUAAGCACCGGCUAACUACGUGCCAGCAGCCGCGGUAAUACGUAGGGUGCGAGCGUUAAUCGGAAUUACUGGGCGUAAGGCGUGCGCAGGCGGUUAUGCAAGACAGAUGUGAAAUCCCCGGGCUCAACCUGGGACCUGCAUUUGUGACUGUAUAGCUAGAGUACGGUAGAGGGGGAUGGAAUUCCGCGUGUAGCAGUGAAAUGCGUAGAUAUGCGGAGGAACACCGAUGGCGAAGGCAAUCCCCUGGACCUGUACUGACGCUCAUGCACGAAAGCGUGGGGAGCAAACA
rnacentral:rRNA from 1 species